rnacentral:lncRNA from 1 species
GCAGCUCUACUGUUUUUUUUUUUUUUUUGGUUUUGGUUCUAUCCUGUAUUUUCUACUUCCCAAUUCUGAUAUUAUAGCUUUUCUUCUUUCCAGUGUGUGAGCUUAUUUUGUUAUUUUUUAAAGAGAUUAUAGUAUAGAAAAUAGAUAUGUUGAGAAUAAUCUCAGGCUAGAGUGAAAAGGAUAUCUUUUUUCCUUGCUUAAUGAACAUAGACACUUUUUUUGGUAGAAUCUGAUCCUAGUUAAGGUAUGAAGACAGGGUUGUUAGCUUGUAGCAGUUUAAAAAUCAAUCUCUUCUGUCGACUUCAAAGGAUUAUAGAAGACAAGAGAGUCAAACUUUUCGAAGGAGAGACUGAAAACUGUUAACUAAGUUAAUAAGAUGUCUUAAAUGAUUGUGUGGGGAAAAGCAACCUUCCAUAUUAAAAGAAGCUUCAAAAGAGGGAAAGUAUUAUAAAGAGGCUUACCGAUGACAAUGUCUCUAAGAAAGCACUGAUUCUCAGUGAGUGUGACUCACAACAGAGGUGACAGUUUUGAACCAUGGGUGGCUUUGGGAGGUAAAAGAAAGAGCAGCGGCUGUAGCAAGAAUUUCUUCAGUCUAUCUUGGAAGAGUAACAGUCCUGCAAGGUGAAAUUUCUUCAGAGCUCAUUAUUAAGAUAAAAUGUGAUGCUUCAUCUCGAUCAGAGUAAGCAAGGAGUUUAAAACUCACCUGAAGGAACAGAAUCAGGAAAGCUCCUGCCUCUGUGAAGCAUGUCAGAGUAAUUUUGUAACCUAAAUUAAGGUAAGUGGUGACAAAACCUAUUUAAACAUUUCUG